AUGAGCGCCUCGGCGACGAGUCCGCCAGCCUACAGGCGCGUGGAGGGCCUCCUGCUAGGGUACUUUUUCAGCGGAGACAGCGUCCGCUCUGCCCUCACAUACCAGCCACAACCGGGUGACAUCUUCGUGGCAGGAUACCCCAAGUCCGGAACCACCUGGACACAGUACAUCCUCUGGAGCAUCUUCAGUGGCGGUGUCCCUCCUAAGAGCAUCGCUGAAUUCGAGCAGAAGAUGCCCGUACUGGAGAGCGCCGGGGCCCAGGGCAUCGCGAAAGUGUAUCCUGACAGACCGUGGGCAAUCAAGACGCACCUUCCGUUGUCCAUGCUUCGGUACUCCGAACGGGCGAAGUAUGUCUUCAUCGCGAGGAACCCCUACGACUGUUGCGUCUCGUAUUACCAUCACACCAAAGCUUUUCCAGCAUAUCUUUACGAACACGGCUGCUUCGACCAGUUCUUUGACAUGUUUGUGGAGGGACAAGGGGAGUAUGGCGAUUACUUCGACCAUCUGCUUCCCUGGUACGAGCAUCGAGAAGACCCAAACGUCCUGUUCUUGACGUAUGAAGGUUUCAAGACAGACACCGAAGGCUGGGUGCUCAAGAUGGCCGACUUCGUGGGAGAAGAGUAUGGGGAGCGGCUGAGACGUGACCCGCAAGCGCUAAGACUGGUUAUAAGCCUGUCAAGCGUCGAAAGCAUGAAGAAGAUUUUUAACAGGUCACUUAGUACCAAACACGGCAAUGCGUCGAAGGCUUUGAGCAGUGCCAAGGUAACGUCAGAAACCUAUGAGGAGCUCAUUAGGGUCGCGCUUACGAGGCCGAUGACGGGCGAUUUUGUACGAAAGGGGGUAGUCGGAGACUGGAGGAAUCACUUUUCGACGGAGCAACUGGAGAGGAUGAAGAAAUGGAUAAUACGGAAGACAUCGGAAAGCGACGUCAUGCAGCUUUGGAAUGACUGUGAUAUUCCGCAACUCUAAUUUCUACAAGCUGACAAAAAAAAAGAAAAAAAAAAACAAGAGCGAGUUUCUAAAGAAAUUGUUAUAAUGCUGACGAGCUGAUGCAAGUCUUCACGUGUGUCAUGGACGCUGGCUCAACCUAUCAAAUAUGCACCGUCAUCGUCAAGUGUGUGUACGGAAACAUUGGUAGUUCAUUGGAAACGCACGAUGAGCAUGCCCAGUUCUUAGCAAAGACAUAAAAGCAUGCCAGGGGCGCUGAGUGCCGUUUCAGAUGCAGCAAACCUGAACAAAAAUUAGUUUAGCUCUUGCUCUGCAGAACUUGAGCAAUAAAACUUAUUUUUUUAACUAUAGCUAGCGGCAAAACGACCCUUUCCGGAAGCAUUAGUCGUUUUUAUCUCUGCUGCGACGGCGCUUCGCCACCGUAGACGCCCGAGAUGUGAAGAGCGAGUUCGUCUGCUUUUUUUCGCAAGGUCACAUCGAUUGACGCACUUUGACCGCCCCUUAUCAUUGCCAGCUGGCAUGCGGCGGAAGGCCCAGUCGUCUGCCAUUCUUCGUGGACGCCGGAGCGUGAAGGAACGGGCCAAAGAAACGCAGGCUGUAGUCGGGAUCCAAGAAAGCGAGGAUGCAAUCGACCGGAAAGUCCACUCCGGUCUAUAGAGAGAUCGAAGGACUCUACCUCAGCUACUACUUCAGCGACGAGAGCGUCCGCUCAGCCCUCGCCUACAAGCCAAGGCCAGAUGACGUGUUUAUUGUGAGCUACCCGAAAUGCGGUACCACCUG
rnacentral:misc_RNA from 1 species